rnacentral:rRNA from 1 species
CUGCGAGUGAAGCGGCAAAAGCUCAAAUUUGAAAUCUGACGUUCAUAUUGACGUUCGAGUUGUAAUUUGGAGGAGCGCCUUCGGAAGCCGACGCCGUUCUAAGUUCUUUUGGAACUGGACAUCACAGAGGGUGAGAAUCCCGUGCCUGGGCGGCAGUCUGGCUCCCAUACGAAGCGUUUCCGACGAGUCGAGUUGUUUGGGAAUGCAGCUCAAAAUGGGUGGUAAAUUUCAUCUAAAGCUAAAUACAGGCGAGAGACCGAUAGCGCACAAGUAGAGUGAUCGAAAGAUGAAAAGCACUUUGAAAAGAGAGUUAAACAGUACGUGAAAUUGUUGAAAGGGAAGCGCUUGAGAUUGAACUUUCGGACAGGAUGGAGCUGUAUGAGGGUCUCUCGGCCCUUGUACACCCCUCCAUCCUCCCUCCAACCACCAUCGGUUCCGGCGGCGAGAGAAACGAUUGGGGAAUGUGGCUCCCCUCGGGGAGUGUUAUAGACCUAGCCGAUUUGCGCCAGCUGGGACCGAGGAAACGAGCGAGCGUGGGGGUUUUAUUAUCCUCAUGAUCUCAAGGAUGUGUGGCAUGUCGAUCUUAAGCGACCCG